rnacentral:rRNA from 1 species
UCCUGACUGACCGAUAGUGAACCAGUACCGUGAGGGAAAGGCGAAAAGAACCCCGGCGAGGGGAGUGAAAAAGAACCUGAAACCGUGUACGUACAAGCAGUGGGAGCACAGGUUUACCUGUGUGACUGCGUACCUUUUGUAUAAUGGGUCAGCGACUUAUAUUCUGUAGCAAGGUUAACCGGAUAGGGGAGCCGCAGGGAAACCGAGUCUUAACCGGGCGUUAAGUUGCAGGGUAUAGACCCGAAACCCGGUGAUCUAGCCAUGGGCAGGUUGAAGGUUGGGUAACACUAACUGGAGGACCGAACCGACUAAUGUUGAAAAAUUAGCGGAUGACCUGUGGCUGGGGGUGAAAGGCCAAUCAAACCGGGAGAUAGCUGGUUCUCCCCGAAAGCUAUUUAGGUAGCGCCUCGUGAACUCAUCUUCGGGGGUAGAGCACUGUUUCGGCUAGGGGGUCAUCCCGACUUACCAACCCGAUGCAAACUGCGAAUACCGGAGAAUGUUAUCACGGGAGACACACGGCGGGUGCUAACGUCCGUCGUGAAGAGGGAAACAACCCAGACCGCCAGCUAAGGUCCCAAAGUCAUGGUUAAGUGGGAAACGAUGUGGGAAGGCCCAGACAGCCAGGAUGUUGGCUUAGAAGCAGCCAUCAUUUAAAGAAAGCGUAAUAGCUCACUGGUCGAGUCGGCCUGCGCGGAAGAUGUAACGGGGCUAAACCAUGCACCGAAGCUGCGGCAGCGACGCUUAUGCGUUGUUGGGUAGGGGAGCGUUCUGUAAGCCGUUGAAGGUGGCCUGUGAGGGUUGCUGGAGGUAUCAGAAGUGCGAAUGCUGACAUAAGUAACGAUAAAGCGGGUGAAAAGCCCGCUCGCCGGAAGACCAAGGGUUCCUGUCCAACGUUAAUCGGGGCAGGGUGAGUCGACCCCUAAGGCGAGGCCGAAAGGCGUAGUCGAUGGGAAACAGGUUAAUAUUCCUGUACUCGGUGUUACUGCGAAGGGGGGACGGAGAAGGCUAUGUUGGCCGGGCGACGGUUGUCCCGGUUUAAGCAUGUAGGCGGGUGUUCCAGGUAAAUCCGGAACGCUGUUAACGCUGAGGUGUGAUGACGAGGCACUACGGUGCUGAAGCAACAAAUGCCCUGCUUCCAGGAAAAGCCUCUAAGCAUCAGGUAACAUCAAAUCGUACCCCAAACCGACACAGGUGGUCAGGUAGAGAAUACCAAGGCGCUUGAGAGAACUCGGGUGAAGGAACUAGGCAAAAUGGUGCCGUAACUUCGGGAGAAGGCACGCUGAUGGUAGGUGAAGUGAUUUACUCAUGGAGCUGAAAUCAGUCGAAGAUACCAGCUGGCUGCAACUGUUUAUUAAAAACACAGCACUGUGCAAACACGAAAGUGGACGUAUACGGUGUGACGCCUGCCCGGUGCCGGAAGGUUAAUUGAUGGGGUUAUCCUCGCGGAGAAGCUCUUGAUCGAAGCCCCGGUAAACGGCGGCCGUAACUAUAACGGUCCUAAGGUAGCGAAAUUCCUUGUCGGGUAAGUUCCGACCUGCACGAAUGGCGUAAUGAUGGCCAGGCUGUCUCCACCCGAGACUCAGUGAAAUUGAACUCGCUGUGAAGAUGCAGUGUACCCGCGGCAAGACGGAAAGACCCCGUGAACCUUUACUAUAGCUUGACACUGAACAUUGAGCCUUGAUGUGUAGGAUAGGUGGGAGGCUUUGAAGUGUGGACGCCAGUCUGCAUGGAGCCGACCUUGAAAUACCACCCUUUAAUGUUUGAUGUUCUAACGUGGACCCGUAA